GGAAGCUGAAGAAGGUGAAAAGAGAGGGGAGGAGGAAGGAGGAAGGUUUGCGUUGACAUUGCUAACUGAGACAAAUGAAAGAAGAGGUGACACAGCUCGUUAGCUGCAUUUCUUCUGAAGGCGUACCAGGUGUUCCGUGUGCACUGAGAUGGAAUGCAAAUCAGACCACAUGAACAGCACAAGAGCUGCAGAAGAGGAGGCAGGGGAGGGACUGAGCUGGCAUAGUCAACAGUGUCAUUGUUGGAGGAUUGGAG